GGGGUUUGAUCUCAGUGCUGAUGCAAGAGCUCUGAAGCCUUCAUCUCCAAUACUGCAGUUAUCCAGGCUGUAGAGAGAAUGUAGCGAAGGGAGAGAGCAGUGACCCCACCCGGUCUUGAACACAGGUUUCCAAACUAAAGUUUACAGUUGGGAUCCUCCAGAAGAGAAGAAAGAUGCUUCACUCCUGAGUCUCCUGCUUUAUUCUCACUCAGCUGCAGCUCU